ACAAGGAACUAUCAUAAAGUAUGUCUCAGGAGUUUCUGUAAUUCCCAGAGUUUGAGCCUGCAUAAAUAGGAAAUAAAAGAUGAUGAAGUCUUAGCUGCCUGUGAAAACCCACCCUUAUAGUAGGACCAAGCAAGGAUGGGUAUACUUUCCUGAUAAUAAGAACUGAUAAAUCAAUUAAGUGCAUUAGCGGGGUAUAUAAAACUUUUGAAUAAUGUUAUUCAUGAGGUAACUGCCUAGCCUCUGUGUGCAGGGCAUGCUUGUGACAAGAAGGAAUGAUCAAAGACAGCUCAGUAAAGAAGAAUAUGUUCAGCUUUCAGAAGAGAAACAUGGAACUUCCACAUCUAAUUUCUCAAGAAUCUCUAGAUUUCUGGAACAUUUUAUUUUCUUUCAUGUUAUUAUUAUUUACAUUUCCACGCUGGCAUACUGGUGAACUACACAGCUACUACAUGG
rnacentral:lncRNA from 1 species